UACGUAGGGUGCGAGCGUUGUCCGGAAUUAUUGGGCGUAAAGAGCUCGUAGACGGUGUGUCGCGUCGGCCGUGAAAACCUGGGGCUUAACUCAUGGCCUGCAGUUGAGACUGUCGGGCUGGAGUGUGGGAGAGGAGAGUGGAAUUCCUGGUGUAGCGGUGAAAUGCGUAGAUAUCAGGAGGAACACCGGUGGCGAAGGCGGCUCUCUGGACCACAACUGACGCUGAGGCGCGAAAGCUAGGGGAGCAAACAGG
rnacentral:rRNA from 1 species